GCAACGUUAGCAGGACUGAGACAGGUAUGCAAAGUUCAAUUUGGAGACAUUUGCCUGUGUCAUGACGUUGGCCUCUUUGGGUAUAGCAAGCCCCAUCCCCUACUCCCUGCCUCCCCCUUUCCUCCUUCAACUAGGUUGCUGUGGUCAGAGAGACGUCGUAAAUUCCUGAGGAUCUCCUCAUGGACACACAGUAUAGAGAGAGUACAUUUUCAUAGAGCACAAAGCAAUUCCUUCCACCUCACAGAACUUGAGGUACGAACAAAUUUCAUGUUCCGGAGAAAGUAUAAAAGAUCGGUGAAGAAUCCAGCUAUGAACUGGUCCGUUUGUCACAACUUGGGGAAGCUCAUGGGAGAUAGUGUGGCAACAUUACCAUUAAGCUGUUUAUAUAAUAGCCUCAGAUAUGAGGUUUACAUCUAAUUGUUGUAUAAGAUGAAUGAGUGAGUAUGAUACUGUUUGUAGAAUUGUGUAAUAUGAUUUUGGACUGUUUAAUGAAGGAAAACUCAAAAAGGGGAUUGGAGUUAACUAAAUCAGAGGACCGCCCCUGAGCCCAGCGUCCUGGGACAGCCCUCUUCGGCCCUUCCGAAUAAAACCCCCACUGGGGUUUUCAAUCAGCAGACCGAGCUUACCUCAAUUAUGAGAUGGCUAAAGGUUGCAGACCAUGUUUUUCUCCAUUAGGAGGACAAAGGUUGUAGACCAUUGCUGAAUCUUUUAACCAUACCACGUGGUUAAACUCUUAGACUAUCGAUACCGACAGAAUAAGAACAAGUCUAUAACAAAUGAAUGAAUGUCACUCUGAACUAUCCACGAUAACCACGACAGAGAGAGAGGGAGAGAGACGGACAAUUCUACGAAAGACGAUACACUGAGCGUAAAUAUACAGUGCCUUGCGAAAGUAUUCGGCCCCCUUGAACUAAAAUAAAAAAUAAAAUUAAAAUUAAAAACUUGUUUUGACCAGGGCCCGUUGGGCUGUACAGACGUUCUAAAUGUCAGGACAUUACUUCAAAACGAGCAAGAAAAAUGUUCUUGACCAGUCAGUAUGGAUGUGCCAAAUGUCUCCGUUUAUCGCUACUUUCUCUCAGUGUUAAAUGACUCCUACGCUGAUAGUCAAAACACUGUGUGAGCAGCACAGCACUGCAGCAUGACACAUUCAGUACUGUGUGAGCAGCAUAGCACUGCAGCACGACUAGGGUCGGAAAAAAAGUCUGGUAACUGUCAAUAAAUUCCAUGGUUUUUCAGAAAUCCCGGUUGGAGGAUUAGCGGAAUCAGGAAGGAAGAAGCAGGAAAUCCGGAAGCCUCCAACCAGGAUUUCUAGAAAAUCAGGGAAUGUAUUGAAAGUUCCCAGAAUUUUCCAACACUAAGCAUGACACAUUCAGUACUGCUGGUAAUGGCAGACAUAGAGAGGUUACUCAGCGGAAUUGGUUCCAGAAUAAACAUUUCUAUAAAUAGAGUUACUGUGUGGUAUCAGUGUACGAGGCACCAGAACCUUGCUCUCAUUAAAGUUUCAAGUUCCUCAGUGUCCACAUCACCAACAAACUAACAUGGUCCAAACACAUAAAGACAGUUGUGAAGAGGGAACGACAAAGCCUAUUCCUCCUCAGGAGACUGAAAAGAUUUGGCAUGGGUCUCCAGAUCCUCAAAAAGUUCUACAGCUGCACCGUCAAGAGCAACUGGUUGCAUCACCGCCUGGUAUGGCAACUGUUCGGCAUCUGACCGCAAGGCACUACAGAGGGUAGUGCGCACGGCCCAGUACAUCACUGGGGCCAAGCUUUCUGUCAUCCAGGACCUCUGUACUAGCCAGUGGCAGAGGAAGGCCCCAAAAAUUGUAGAGGUACCAGAGCGCCAAGUCUAGGUCCCAAAGGCUCCUUAACAGCUUCGACCACCAAGCCACUAGACUGCUGAACAAUUAAUCAAAUGGCCACCCGGACUAUCUACUCACUGUUUAUUUUCUAUGCAUAGUCACUUUAAUAACUCUACCUACGUGUACAUAUCUCAAUUACCUCAACUAACCGGUGCCCCCACACAUCGACUCUGUACCGGUACCCCCUGUAUAUAGCCUCACUAUUGUUAUUUUAUUGCUACUUUAAAAAAAUAAAACAAAUAUUGAAAAUAUAACAAUAUUUUCUUAAAACUGCAUUGUAAGUUAGCAUUUCACAAUAAGGUCUACCUACACCUGUUGCAUUCAGUGCAUUGUGACAAAUUGAAUGUUGAUUUGACAUUAACAUAACAUCUCUUUCUAUGGCUAUAUGGUAGUCCAUUCUGUGUGUUCUUUAAACACAUGUCAAUUACAUGUAAUUGUAAUUAAUAAAAAUGUAUUAACUGUAUACUAAAAUGUCCUGAACCUGACCUCGACAUAAACCAAAGUGCAAUGUACCAUACGAUUCUAUCACCAAAUAAAGUAGGUUGAACGUUACAGAAAUUGUUACGGCUUUCUUCCGUCCAAGGAGAGGCGGACCAAAAUGCAGCGUGGUUAUUUCAAUGCAUCUUUUAAUAAAAGAUAAUAAACACAAACAAUACCAAAAACAUAACGUGAAAACCUAAACAGCCUUAUCUGGUGCAAACAAACACUGAGACACGAACAAUCACCCACGAAAACACUCAAAGAAUAUGGCUGCCUAAAUAUGGUUCCCAAUCAGAGACAACGAUAAUCACCUGCCUCUGAUUGAGAACCACUCCGUAGACUUUUCUAGACAACCCUACUAACCACAAUCCCAAUACCUACAACAAACCCCUAGACAAAACACACCACAAAAAUAACCCAUGUCACACCCUGGCCUGAUCAAAAUAAUAAAGAAAACGCAAAAUACUAAGACCAGGGCGUGACAGAAAUCUAAAUGUCGGAGAACAUUUCCUAAGAGGUCAUCUUUCAUGAUAAGUGACAACAAAAGACAAAAGCAUGAAUAGAUGUAAUAUAAUAAUGAAUCCAUUCUCGGUCUCCUCCCAGGAGGUGUGUUGUGUAACUAUAGUGGGUAGAUUAAUGAAGAGGAGGGAGUGCUACACAACACGCACACACACACACACACACACACACACACACACACACACACACGGACACACGG
rnacentral:lncRNA from 13 species